rnacentral:tRNA from 4 species
CGCGGAGUGGAGCAGUUGGUAGCUCGUCGGGCUCAUAACCCGAAGGUCAUAGGUUCAAGUCCUGUCUCCGCAA